AUGGGAGACUUCAUCCACGCUGGCCUCAACUGUCCUUCCCAAUACCUCGGAAAAAUGCGACCUGGGCCUCUCUCCCAUGAAUCUCAGUCCAGUAAAUCUAAGCGCCUGCUGGCACAGCCAUUUGAAGAUGAAUAUAAAGCUGUUGAAAAACAUCAAACAGCCCGCCAUCUUGGCUCCUGUGGAGGCCUGCUGGGAACAGGACUUCUAAAAGGAACUACGUCUGGAAGGCUGUGGUCCGAGGCCAUUUUUGCCGGCUAUAAGCGGGGUCUCCGGAACCAAAGGGAGCACACAGCUCUUCUUAAAAUUGAAGGUGUUUAUGCCCGAGAUGAAACAGAAUUCUAUUUGGGCAAGAGAUGCGCUUAUGUAUACAAAGCAAAGAACAACACAGUGACUCCAGGCGGCAAACCAAAUAAAACCAGAGUCAUCUGGGGAAAGGUAACUCGGGCCCAUGGAAACAGUGUCAUGGUUCGUGCCAAAUUCCGAAGCAGUCUUCCUGCUAAGGCCAUUGGUCACAGAAUCCGAGUGAUGCUGUACCCCUCAAGGAUUUAAACUAACGAAAAAUCAAUAAAUAAACGUGGAUUUGUGCUCUUG